CCUACGGGAGGCAGCAGUGGGGAAUAUUGGACAAUGGGCGAAAGCCUGAUCCAGCCAUGCCGCGUGUGUGAAGAAGGUCUUCGGAUUGUAAAGCACUUUAAGUUGGGAGGAAGGGUUGUAGAUUAAUACUCUGCAAUUUUGACGUUACCGACAGAAUAAGCACCGGCUAACUCUGUGCCAGCAGCCGCGGUAAUACAGAGGGUGCAAGCGUUAAUCGGAAUUACUGGGCGUAAAGCGCGCGUAGGUGGUUUGUUAAGUUGGAUGUGAAACCCCCGGGCUCAACCUGGGAACUGCAUUCAAAACUGACUGACUAGAGUAUGGUAGAGGGUGGUGAAAUCUCCUGUGAGGCGUGAAAAUGCGUAGAUAUAGGAAGGACUCCCAGUGGCGAAGGCGACCACCUGGACUAAUACUGACACUGGGGUGCGAAAGCGUGGGGAGCAAACAGGAUAAGAUACCCGGUAGUC
rnacentral:rRNA from 1 species